AUUGAACGCUGGCGGCAGGCCUAACACAUGCAAGUCGAGCGGAUGAAGUGAUCUUUCUCCUGGAUUCAGCGUCGGACGGUUGUGUAAUUCCUAUGAAUCUGCCUGGUUGUGUUGUAUUACUUCCUUUAACGGGCGCUAAUACCGCCUACUUCCUGAGUGCGAAAGUGGGUGUUCUUCGUACCUCACGCUAUCUUAUGUGCCUAGUUCGGAUUAGCUAGUUGGUUGGGUAAAGGCCUACCAAGGCGACGAUCCGUAACUGGUCUGAGAGGAUGAUCAGUCAAACUGGAACGGAGACACGGACAAGAAGACUACGGGAGGCAGAAGUGGGGAAGAUUGGACAAGGGGCGAAAGCAUGAUACAGAAAAGCCGAGUGUGUGAAGAAGGUCUUCGGAUUGUAAAGAAAUUUAAGUUGGGAGGAAGGGAAGUAAGUUAAUAAAUAGAUGUAUUGACGUUACAAACAGAAAAAGCAACGGCUAACUACGUG
rnacentral:rRNA from 1 species